GGCACCGGGGACGGCGCGUCCCGGUUCUCCUGCCCGGGAUCUUCCCGGUUUUACCCCGCUCCUAUCCCACUUUUCCCCUGGUUUUAUCCCGUCCCAUCCCGCUCUCAUCCCGGUUUUACCCCCGCUCCCAUCCCGGGAGCUCUUCCCCCUCCGAUCUCGGCGCUUUCCCGGUUUUUCUCCUCUCCGCUCCCGGUUUCUGCCCGGUUCCCCCUCGGUCCGCUCCCACUCCCAUCCCGGUUUUUUGCCCGGUUUUUCCUCACUCCCAUCCCGGUGCUUUCCCUGUCCCUCCCCGUUCCCGAUUUUCUCUCGCUCCGUUCCCGGUCUCCUCCCGGCUCUCCUUCCUGCUCCUCUCCCGGCGCUUUCCCGGUUCCUCCCCGCUGCGCUCUCCGUUCCUUCCCGGUUUUCCCCCGCUCCCAUCCCGUUUUUCCCCGGUUUUUCCUGACGUUUCCUCUCCCCCGCAGCCACCGGGAUGAAGCCGGAGGAGGCUCCGUCCUGCCGGGAGCAGGGAACGCCGCUCCCGGGAGCCGAUUUUCCCCCAAACUCUUCAUUCCCCAGGAUUUUCCUGAGACUCUCCUAUUUCCCUGGAUUUUCCCCAAUAUAUCCCAGUUUUCCCCCCAGUCUCUCCAUUCCCCCGCAUUUCCCCAAUCUCUCAAUUUUCCUNGAUCCCAAAAUUCCCCAUCCCUUAUCCCCACCCUGAUCCCAAAUCCCAUGCCCAAAUCCCCAUCCUGAUCCCAAAUCCUGAGCCCCAAUCCCAAAUCUUGAGUCCUAAAUCCCAAGUCUCCAUCCCAAAUCCCAAAUCCUGAGCCCAAACCCCGAAGGAAAUUCCCAAAUGCCACGCAAACCUCGCUAUCAUCGUCAGCUUCCCAGAGCAAAUCCUAAAUCCCAAAUCCCAAUCCCAAAUCCGAAAUCUAGAUCCUAAUCCCAAUCCGGAUUAUCCUAAUUUUCCUGACAAUCCCACUGAUCCCAAUGAUCCCAAAACCCCCAGUGAUCUCAAUCCAGAUUAUCCCGAUUUUCCUGAUUUUCCCUUUUUUCUCACUGAUCCCAAAAACCCCCAAUGAUCCCAAUUUUCCUGAUUUUCCCAACGAUC
rnacentral:lncRNA from 1 species